rnacentral:rRNA from 1 species
GACGAACGCUGGCGGCGUGCCUAAUACAUGCAAGUCGAACGCUUUUUCUUUCACCGGAGCUUGCUCCACCGAAAGAAAAAGAGUGGCGAACGGGUGAGUAACAUGUGGGUAACCUGCCCAUCAGAAGGGGAUAACACUUGGAAACAGGUGCUAAUACCGUAUAACGCUAUUUUCCGCAUGGAAGAAAGUUGAAAGGCGCUUUUGCGUCACUGAUGGAUGGACCCGCGGUGCAUUAGCUAGUUGGUGAGGUAACGGCUCACCAAGGCAACGAUGCAUAGCCGACCUGAGAGGGUGAUCGGCCACACUGGGACUGAGACACGGCCCAGACUCCUACGGGAGGCAGCAGUAGGGAAUCUUCGGCAAUAGACGAAAGUCUGACCGAGCAACGCCGCGUGAGUGAAGAAGGUUUUCGGAUCGUAAAACUCUGUUGUUAGAGAAGAACAAGGAUGAGAGUAAAACGUUCAUCCCUUGACGGUAUCUAACCAGAAAGCCACGGCUAACUACGUGCCAGCCGCCGCAGUAA